UCAAACCCAUUGAGCAUAAUGAUCGGACGUCAUCUCCCAAUUUUGAAUUCCCUGUAUUCGAAGCAGACGAAGAUGAUGUUGAAGGGAUUCCUGAUGGUAUUUCCCGACUUCUUGAGCAAGAAAAGAAGAUCACUCAGCUGCAUCUCGAGAAUCAGCAGAACAGCCAACUGGGGCAUUAUCAAAAAAAAAAAGAGAAAGAAAAAAAAAAAUAAAAAAAAUAGGAGGGUGCAAAAUCCAAGAAAAAAAAAUCAUCAAAAGAAAUCAAAAGAAAUCCAAAUCAAAAGAGAGAAAAAGAAAGAAAGAAACAAAAGAAAGAUAGUACCCUCAAAGUCCCAAGUUGACUAAUGCUGAAUUCGACGGAAAGAAGGAAGAGAU
rnacentral:lncRNA from 1 species